rnacentral:lncRNA from 1 species
AGUUUAACAAAGUACCAGGAGAAAGCAAUCAUUCUUCUGAAAGGUGGAAAAUGAAGGAACAAAUGUUAAAAGUUAAUGAAAUUGAAAGACCCAGACACAAUUAUUCUUCUAAUAAAUAUGUUGUUCCAACUGAAAAAAAACGUCAAGCUCUGCGAUGGCAAAUUCGUUCAGCGAUGGCUCAAAUUCAUUAGCAUUAUGUAUAUAAAU